GAAGUCGGCAAAAUGAUCCGUAACUUUGGGAAAAGGAUUGGCUCAUAGGGCAGAGCUUGUUGGGCCCUUGAUAGAUCUUUAGGGACCUGACUAGGACUACUUCUGGGUAAAACUUGAGGCGGACCUGGAUGGGACCUUUAGUAAUGUCUUGGGUAGCUUUAAUUAACGUUAUUGCAUCUGGCAAGCAUUUAACUGUCAACUAUGAACUGGUACGGACAAGGGGAAUCUGACUGUCUAAUUAAACAUAGCAUUGUGAUGAGCUAGCCAAGCUUCUGGCAAGUCUAGAACCCUGGAAACCCCCGAUAAAUGAGCAGCACCACAAU
rnacentral:rRNA from 1 species